AGUUAAAAAGCUCGUAGUUGAAUUUCUGGUCGCGAAAGGUGGUCCGUUCCUCACGGAAUGUGUACUGUCCAUUCGUGUCCAUUCUCGGAGUUAGUUUGUAUUACCUUAACCGGUCGUGCAUACAACCUUCGUCAUUUACUGUGAGCAAAAUAGAGUGUUCAAAGCAGGCUUAUGCCGUUGAAUAUAUUAGCAUGGAAUAAUAAGAUAUGACUUUGGUCUAUUUUGUUGGUUUGCACUCCAAAGUAAUGAUUAAUAGGGAUAGUUGGGGGUAUUCGUAUUCAAUUGUCAGAGGUGAAAUUCUUGGAUUUAUGGAAGACGAACUACUGCGAAAGCAUUUACCAAGGAUGUUUUCAUUAAUCAAGAACGAAAGUUAGGGGAUCGAAGAUGAUUAGAUACCAUCGUAGUCUUAACCAUAAACUAUGCCGACUAGGGAUUGGUGGUGUUUGUAAUGACUCCAUCAGCACCUUAUGAGAAAUCAAAGUCUUUGGGUUCCGGGGGGAGUAUGGUCGCAAGGCUGAAACUUAAAGAAAUNGACGGAAGGGCACCACCAGGAGUGGAGCCUGCGGCUUAAUUGA
rnacentral:rRNA from 1 species